CAUGCAGAGCCCUGCUGGACACAGCCAGCACCUGCGUCUGGCGGCCUCCCCCCGGCACCGUGCCCCCCGCAGGCUGCCUGCUGGUGGUCCCGGGUGAGCCUUGGAGUCUCCUGGGCCAGUGGUCCCAGACCUGGACACGGCCAUCUCACCAAAAAUCCCUGGGGGUUCCCGUCCGUGCGGUGCUGUCCAGACCCACGUGUGGGCACGUGUGCUCAGGCCGCCAGCUGUCUCGGCUUCCUGCCUUUUCUGGGUGGUGAGCUGGGAAACACAUGUGUUUGAGGAAAAAAUAAGGAUGAAUUCAUCUGGACACAACUCAGAUAUAAACCCUGGAGAAGGAAAUGGCAACCCAUCCCAGUGUUCUUGCCUGGAAAAUCCCAUGGACAGAGGAGCCUGGCGGGCUACAGGCCAUGGGGUCGCAAGAGUUGGACAUGACUGAAGUGACUGAACACACACACACAACAGAUAUAAACCAUGCACACACGUGGUAAGCAUUCACACAGGACUUCUAACAAUUAAACUAAGACUUCUCUGCAGCUCUGUUAUCCUAGAACAGCCAAACAACUUAAAAUCACAGAUAAACAUAAUCUUGGCAUUUCAAUCAGAACAUUCAUGUUUCAAUCGUAUCUGAAUAUUGUGAAUAAAGGAGCC